rnacentral:rRNA from 1 species
GAUGAACGCUGGCGGCGUGCCUAAUACAUGCAAGUCGAGCGAACAGACGAGGAGCUUGCUCCUCUGACGUUAGCGGCGGACGGGUGAGUAACACGUGGAUAACCUACCUAUAAGACUGGGAUAACUUCGGGAAACCGGAGCUAAUACCGGAUAAUAUAUUGAACCGCAUGGUUCAAUAGUGAAAGACGGUUUUGCUGUCACUUAUCGAUGGAUCCGCGCCGCAUUAGCUAGUUGGUAAGGUAACGGCUUACCAAGGCGACGAUGCGUAGCCGACCUGAGAGGGUGAUCGGCCACACUGGAGCUGAGACACGGUCCAGACUCCUACGGGAGGCAGCAGUAGGGAAUCUUCCGCAAUGGGCGAAAGCCUGACGGAGCAACGCCGCGUGAGUGAUGAAGGUCUUCGGAUCGUAAAACUCUGUUAUUAGGGAAGAACAAAUGUGUAAGUAACUAUGCACGUCUUGACGGUACCUAAUCAGAAAGCCACGGCUAACUACGUG